UACGGGGGGUGCGAGCGUUGUCCGGAAUCACUGGGCGUAAAGGGCGCGUAGGUGGUCUGAUAAGGGUGUGGUGAAAGCCCGGGGCUCAACCCCGGGUCGGCCGUGCCGACUGUUAGACUAGAGUGCUGUAGGGGCAGGCGGAAUUCCGGGUGUAGCGGUGGAAUGCGUAGAGAUCCGGAGGAAGACCGGUGGCGAAGGCGGCCUGCUGGGCAGUUACUGACACUGAGGUGCGAAAGCGUGGGGAGCAAACAGG
rnacentral:rRNA from 1 species